rnacentral:rRNA from 1 species
GGGUGGUAAUGCCGGAUGUUCCACAUGAUCGCAUGUGAUUGUGGGAAAGAUUCUAUCGGCGUGGGAUGGGGUCGCGUCCUAUCAGCUUGUUGGUGAGGUAACGGCUCACCAAGGCUUCGACGGGUAGCCGGCCUGAGAGGGCGACCGGCCACAUUGGGACUGAGAUACGGCCCAGACUCCUACGGGAGGCAGCAGUGGGGAAUAUUGCACAAUGGGCGCAAGCCUGAUGCAGCGACGCCGCGUGAGGGAUGGAGGCCUUCGGGUUGUAAACCUCUUUUGUUUGGGAGCAAGCCUUCGGGUGAGUGUACCUUUCGAAUAAGCGCCGGCUAACUACGUGCCAGCAGCCGCGGUAAUACGUAGGGCGCAAGCGUUAUCCGGAUUUAUUGGGCGUAAAGGGCUCGUAGGCGGCUCGUCGCGUCCGGUGUGAAAGUCCAUCGCUUAACGGUGGAUCUGCGCCGGGUACGGGCGGGCUGGAGUGCGGUAGGGGAGACUGGAAUUCCCGGUGUAACGGUGGAAUGUGUAGAUAUCGGGAAAGAACACCA